GACGAACGCUGGCGGCGUGCCUAAUACAUGCAAGUUGAGCGCUGAAGGUUGGUACUUGUACCAACUGGAUGAGCAGCGAACGGGUGAGUAACGCGUGGGGAAUCUGCCUUUGAGCGGGGGACAACAUUUGGAAACGAAUGCUAAUACCGCAUAAAAACUUUAAACACAAGUUUUAAGUUUGAAAGAUGCAAUUGCAUCACUCAAAGAUGAUCCCGCGUUGUAUUAGCUAGUUGGUGAGGUAAAGGCUCACCAAGGCGAUGAUACAUAGCCGACCUGAGAGGGUGAUCGGCCACCUUGGGACUGAGACACGGCCCAAACUCCUACGGGAGGCAGCAGUAGGGGAUCUUCGGCAAUAGACGAAAGUCUGACCGAGCAACGCCGCGUGAGUGAAGAAGGUUGUCGGAUCGUAAAACUCUGUUGGUAGAGAAGAACGUUGGUGAGAGUGGAAAGCUCAUCAAGUGACGGUAACUACCCAGAAAGGGACGGCUAACUACGUG
rnacentral:rRNA from 1 species